rnacentral:rRNA from 1 species
CCUACGGGAGGCAGCAGUGAGGAAUAUUGGUCAAUGGCCGGAAGGCUGAACCAGCCAUGCCGCGUGAAGGUCAGUGCCCUAUGGGCGUUAAACUUCUUUUGUGCGGGAGCAAUAAUGGUCACGUGUGGCCAGACGAGAGUACCGUACGAAUAAGCAUCGGCUAACUCCGUGCCAGCAGCCGCGGUAAUACGGGGGAUGCAAGCGUUUUCCGGAUUUAUUGGGUUUAAAGGGUGCGUAGGCUGUGAGGUAAGUCAGCGGGGAAAUGCCCCCGCUCAACGGGGUGAAGUGCCAUUGAUACUGCCUUGCUGGAAUGCGGAUGCCGUGGGAGGAAUGUGUGGUGUAGCGGUGAAAUGCAUAGAUAUCACACAGAACACCGAUUGCGAAGGCAUCUCACGAAUCCGCGAUUGACGCUGAUGCACGAAAGCGUGGGUAUCAAACAGGAUUAGAUACCCUAGUAGUC